UAAAACAAUUCCUUUAUGAGUUUUACAGAAUAUAGUAAGAAAUAUUAUAGACGCCCCUAGAGAAUAUUUUGAGAGAACGUGACUGAACUGGAAAAAUAUUUGGUGUGUGCAUUUGUGGACGAAUGAUACGUAUUAAAGAAAAAACCAGUAAUAAUUAUUUAUUGAAAGACUUGACGUAUACAUAUUCACAUAAUAUUAAAUGUUUCUUAAGUAUAAUACAGUUAUUGCGAGAAAAAUAAACAGUCGAAAACGUCUACGCGGAGUAGUGAAGGGGUGAUGAUGAGAAGCAGGAGUAAUUUUGUUUGAAAGCUGAAAUUAAAUGAUUUCGCCUGAAUAAAAGUGAUUUGACCGACUACGCUUGCCAUUUUUUUUUUAUUUUCUCAUGGUUUCGCGGAAGAGCAUUCAACCGAAUGAAUUGAAUAGAAGAGUUUCAUCAUCUACCUGUAAAGACAUGCUGAUCGAAACUUUCUAGGCAUUUUACCGUCCCGAAAAAUGUUUCUGGAUUUGACAGAAAAAAGAGUAUACGUUUCUCAUAAUUCGUAAAUAAGAACAAAAAAAAAGGAAACGUUACUUCUCAGAAUUUGAACAUUAUUGGACUAUGAAAUUAGACGCAGCUUUUUGUUUUUUUUUCGA